rnacentral:rRNA from 1 species
GCCGUAGCGAAAGCGAGUUUUAACUGAGCGUUCAGUUACUUGACGUAGACCCGAAACCGGGCGACCUACCCAUGAGCAGGAUGAAGCGAAAGUAAAAUUUCGUGGAGGUCCGAACCCACGAGCGUUGAAAAGCUCGGGGAUGACUUGUGGGUAGCGGUGAAAUUCCAAUCGAGCCCGGAGAUAGCUGGUUCUCCCCGAAAUAGCUUUAGGGCUAGCCUCAAGGUGAGAGAUACGGAGGUAGAGCACUGAAUGUCCUAGGGGGUAUUGCACCUACCGAAGACUAUCAAACUCCGAAUGCCGUCAUCUUAUACUUGGGAGUCAGACUGUGGGUGAUAAGAUUCAUAGUCGAAAGGGCAACAGCCCAGAUCGUCAGCUAAGGUCCCUAAAUGUAAGUUAAGUGGUAAAGGAUGUGGGAUUGCACAGACAACCAGGAUGUUGGCUUAGAAGCAGCCACUCAUUCAAAGAGUGCGUAAUAGCUCACUGGUCGAGUGAUCCUGCGCCGAAGAUUUCCGGGGCUAAAACUUACUACCGAAGCUACGGCAUCAGUAAUGAUGGGUAGGGGAGCUUCCCAUACGGGUUGAAGCAUGACCGUAAGGACAUGUGGACAGUAUGGGAGUGAGAAUGUUGGCAUGAGUAGCGAGAUGUGGGUGAGAAUCCCACAGGCCGUAAACCCAAGGUUUCCAGGGGAAGGUUCGUCCGCCCUGGGUUAGUCGGGACCUAAGCUGAGGCCGAAAGGCGUAGGUGAUGGACAACAGGUUGAUAUUCCUGUACUACCGAUAACCGUUUGAGAGAAGGGAUGACACAGUAGGAUAAGCUAAGCACACUGUUGGUUAUGUGUGCCCAAGCAUUGAGGCAGUCAAAGUAGGCAAAUCCGCUUUGAUAAUGCUGGGAUGUGAUGGGGAGCGAAAUUUAGUAGCGAAGUAGCUGAUUUCACACUGUCAAGAAAAGUCUCUAUCGAGGUUAAAGGUACCCGUACCGCAAACCGACACAGGUGGGUGAGGAGAGUAUCCUAAGGCCAGCGAGAGAACUGUUGUUAAGGAACUCGGCAAAAUGACCCCGUAACUUAGGGAUAAGGGGUGCCACCAUCAGGUGGCCGCAGAGAAUAGGCCCAAGCGACUGUUUACCAAAAACAUAGGUUUCUGCUAAGUCGCAAGACGAUGUAUAGGAGCUGACGCCUGCCCGGUGCUGGAAGGUUAAGGGGAUCUGUUAGAG